AGACUCCUACGGGAGGCAGCAGUGGGGAAUAUUGGACAAUGGGCGAAAGCCUGAUCCAGCAAUACCGCGUGUGUGAAGAAGGCCUGAGGGUUGUAAAGCACUUUCAACAGUGAAGAUUGGAUGUUUGAUUAAUACUCUUACAUCUUGACGUUAACUGUACAAGAAGCACCGGCUAAUUCCGUGCCAGCAGCCGCGGUAAU
rnacentral:rRNA from 1 species